GACGAACGCUGGCGGCGUGCCUAAUACAUGCAAGUCGAGCGGAUCUUCAUUAGCUUGCUUUUGAAGAUCAGCGGCGGACGGGUGAGUAACACGUGGGCAACCUGCCUGUAAGACUGGGAUAACUUCGGGAAACCGGAGCUAAUACCGGAUAAUCCUUUUCCUCUCAUGAGGAAAAGCUGAAAGACGGUUUCGGCUGUCACUUACAGAUGGGCCCGCGGCGCAUUAGCUAGUUGGUGAGGUAACGGCUCACCAAGGCGACGAUGCGUAGCCGACCUGAGAGGGUGAUCGGCCACACUGGGACUGAGACACGGACCAGACUCCUACGGGAGGCAGCGGUAGGGAAUCUUCCGCAAUGGACGAAAGUCUGACGGAGCAACGCCGCGUGAGCGAUGAAGGCCUUCGGGUCGUAAAGCUCUGUUGUCAGGGAAGAACAAGUACCGGAGUAACUGCCGGUACCUUGACGGUACCUGACCAGAAAGCCACGGCUAACUACGUGCCAGCAGCCGCAGUAAAAC
rnacentral:rRNA from 1 species